UCCGACUAUUUCCUUAUUUGGGGAGCGUUUUUGUCAUGCGCAGAAGUCUGCAUCUUUUAGAGAAAGAAAUGGCGGACAUUUUGGUGUUUAUCUGAUCGUCGUAGGACAAUCAUGGGUCGCAAACUGCUGGGGAAGGGAAGGCCACUCAAUCGACGUCAUAGAGCAUACAGCUUUGCCGAAAAGGCCACAUAGUCUGAAUAAAAAAAUUCACGCAACUGAAGCAAGAGUAGUAAUCAUCGUGUUCUAUUUUUAUAAACUGUAACGUUAUUUCUAAAUAGAAUAAGUAACGGUUAUAUCUUGUAAAUCUCCGAGUCGGUAUCAGACUUGACGGUAGCGAUGAAUAAAGAUCCCCCUCCCCACCGUUUAUUUAUUUCCGCUACGCAAGCAAAGUAUGAACAAGGACGUCCUUGUUAUGAACGGGUCUUGAAGGUAAGAAUUUUUUUUAUAAGGAUGCUCUUAAAAUACAAAAUUGUUUUAAAAAUAAACUUCUAACAUUAA